rnacentral:misc_RNA from 1 species
GAUGGCAGCUCUGUCCUGGUAAUACACUGAGCAGACUUCACCACUCUCUGUAGAGCCUUGCAGUUCAGGGCGAUGCAGCUGCCAUACCAGGCGGUGAUGCAGCCAGUCAGAAUACUCUCAAUGGUGCACCUGUAAAAGUUGCAGAGAAUCCUUGGGCCCAUGUUGAGCCUGGCCGUCCAGGUCAGGUGAUGUGAACCCAGAGGAACCUGAAACUGCUGACUCUCUCCAACAUAAUCCUGUUGAUGGAGAGGGGGGCGUGUUUAACUCCCUGUCUCUUCCUGUGUGUCAUCAGCAAAUUUAAUGAUGGUUUUGAAGC